UCAAAUCUCAAAUGGUGUUACAUAAUAAGAAGCAUCUCCGAAACCCAACUUCCCACUCCUCAUCCUCUUUUAAGUCUUAUCCCAUCCGCCCCUUUCCUCCGUCUUUAGUCGAUCGCUCAGGCCAGCCCCGACUGCUUAUUAUGGCGACCAACAUUUUCGCUAAUAUUGAUAUUCUAUCGGAUAUUUCUCUGGGACUCGGUAUAGAAUUUCAAUAUCAGUCUUUGAUGGAUGUUCUUCCACCACACUCACAGAUGUCGGGGAAAGAGACCAAUGAACGAGGAUCUCUUGUUAUCGGCUUUUUUCCGUAACUUUUAAGAUAAUAUCUGAGUAGAAUAGUUGAGCAGAAUAGUUGAGCUUCAUUAAUAAAAUUAAUUAGAUGGAGCUAUAUCAUAUUAGCUUUUAUACUGUACAUCAUCAGAUAAACUGAAAAAAAAAAAAAUAAAAUAAAAUAAAAUAAAAUCUAUUAUACCAUCGCAUUAUAUAAUUGUUCCUUUUCAAUGGUUUUUGAUGAGACAAUGGACAAGGGAUGCAGGCAGGCUAGUUCCUUCUCGAAUAUUUUCCAUUUCCCUCCCGAUUUAGUUAGAUUUUCUCUUGCUGUAAAUGGUUGUUGGAUUUCAAUUCCAACCAAAUUAGUUCAUGAUUAACAAAGAUGGUUGUGGACUUUUAGGCAGAUUGCAGGCGAGAAGUGCGGGUGUGUUUGGAGUUAUUUUUCUUAUUUUCUCUAUUCAUUCCUUCUUUCCUGAUUUUUACUAUAUUUUAUUUUUGAACAUCAUUUUCUUGAUUUAUCCUUUUUUAACUUUAACGUAAUUUCUUCUUUUUACAUAUAAUUUUUUCCCUGCCUUAUUUUUCCUUCUUUUAGUUUUCUUAAGAUUUGGCAUGCAUGAUGUAGUACUCUAAGCUCAAUUUCUAAUCUAACUUGUAAUUUGAAUAUUUUGGUUAUUUAAAUAUUGAAAAUAUUGGUAGGUAAAAUUUAAAUAUUUGAUUGGAGAAUUUUACACAAUUUUAAGUUCGAAUUCUCAUUGUAUUUAAGUACUAAUGAUUAGAAAAGAAAAAAAAAAUACCAAUUUAUUAUGCAAUGCAAAAAAUAAUAAUAAUAAAUAAAUAAAUAACAUAAAAAUUUUAUUUUAUCUCGUUAAUGAUUUUGACUUGUUCUAUUUUAUUGGUCUUUUUAACUUUUUCAGAAUGGAGUACUUUUCUGCUUUGUCAUAAUAGAGUAGUCUCUUCACAAAUUAACCUUUUUAGUAAAUAGUUUAUCGUAAAUCUGUUUAUCUCCCUUUAAAGGACAACAAGAGGGGAUAGAUAGCAGUCUUCCUGUCCAGUGAAAGGCUAUAGGAAAAUGUUGGUAGUGUGGAAAAACUGAUUUAUGAACAAUUACAAUCUUAUCAUAGAAGCCAAUGGCCUUUCUCUUCUAUUCCACAACAAGAUUUGUCGCACUUAUUUAACUACAUGCAAUAAUGCCUUUUGAAACAUAACAUGAAACUAAGGAAUCCUUUGUAUGCAGUUAAUACAAGCUUUGAAAAAACAAGAGAGUAAUAGUUCACAUGAUAUUCAAUGCAAUACACUAAUAAACAAAAUUAGUGUAACAGAUCACAUCAGUAAUGCAAAUAGAUCUGGUGAUUUUCAUGCUUAUUAACUGAAGCAUUAUCAAAGGAUUGCUUGCAGCAUUGGAAGAGAAAGAGCAAUUGGCACAAACUACAAUGUGGGUGUCCCUUGCCACCCAACAUACCACGUCCACACCACAGGACAUUAUUCUAUAUGAGUCGUAGUUAGUUCUACAGUGGGUCUUCUUUCCUUAGAAAUUAUAAGGGUAAAAGUGUAAAAAAAGAAAAAAGCAAAAACAGUAAAAUUACACUUUUAUGCGUUUUAUCCUUUACACUAAUGCCUGCAGAAGCCAGACUUGGGGAAGGGAAAAAUGUGGAAAACACAGAGGAAUCCUAUAACUAAAGGAGAUGACUACUUUUUUGCUGAUGAGAAUAUACGAUUGCAGAGAAGGAAGAUUUGUAAUGCAGUAUAAUUUCCCGGAGAUGACCUUGGGAAUGAAGCCUGGUUCAGGACCGAAGAAACGUGGGACUCUUGCCAUUGAAGGUUUAGAAAACAUUAUCAAUUUUCGUAACUCGAGGGAAAUGUGAACUCUACUCUUAAUAUUUUGCUUAAACUUUGAAAUAAGAGAGUAGAAUGUCGUCAGUUCAUCAUCC